AUGGGUGCAAAAUGACAUUUGGCAUAAAUAUUCUUUAACAUGAGCAUCUUUGCUUUACAGGUUGGGAUCCUGUGUGGCAAAGGCUAGAAGCAGAGUCUGGUUAACUUGGACUGCUGAAGCUUGUAAUGGAUGAGUGAGUAGAAGAAAGGAUGUGCAAUGAUAAUACAGUUUUUUUUAGCCUGGGCAUUUCUUUCUUACAGGUUUUCCUGGUUUGGGGAACAACUAGCCGCUGUUGGUUUAUUAUGGAACCUGUUUCUUGUGGUAGGUAUGGAUAAACAAAUUCUGUUUGGCAUUGUUCAGUAUGAGCAUCUUUGUUUUAUAGGUUGGGAUCCUGUGUGGGACUGGCUUAAAGCAGAGUCAAAUUUCCAUAGACUGCUGAUGCUUGCGAGUGGUGAGUAGAAAAAUACAUGUGCACUGAUAAUACUGAUUCUUCAGCCUAAGCAUCUUUUUAUUUUGCAGGAUCUCUUGUUUUGGGAACCAUCCAGCUCCUACAAUACUUAAGCCUGGCAGUGUAUUUGGGUUCCUUUUAUUUGUGGUAUGUAUGGAUGAACAAAUUAGAUUUGAUAUUAACAUUCUUUAGCAUGGGCAUUUUUUGUUUUACAGAUUGGAACAUUGUGUGGGAUAGGAAAGAAGCCACAUCAGGAAACUUUAUACUGAUGAAUAUUGUGACUAAUUGGUGAGUAAAAGAAUAGGCAUGUAUGGGUUAUACUGGUUCUUCAACCUGGACAUCUUUUUAUUUUACAGGGGGACAUCCAGCUUCUAUGGUACUUCAGCCUGGCAGUUUAUUUGGGUUCCUGUUAGUUGAGGUAGGUAUGGAUGAACAAAUUAAAUUUGGCAUUAAUAUUGUUCAACAUGUGGCAUUUUUGCUUUACAGGUUGAGAUUCUGUGUGGCUAAAGAUAGAAAGGGAGUCUAGUUACCUUGGACCGCUGAAGAUUGUAAUCGACAGGCGAGUAGAUGAAUACAUGUGCACGGAUACUACCAAUUCUUGAGCAAGGGCAUUUGUUUGUUUUUACAGUUUUUCCUGGUUUUGGAAACAUCUAGCCAUUGGCAGUUGAUUGUGGUAGGUAUGGAUGAACAAAUUCUGUUUGGUAUUCUUCAUUAUCAAAGUCUUUGUUUUACAGGUUAGGACAUUGUGAGGGAAAGGCAAGCAGCAGCAUCAGGAAACUUUCUACUGCUGAAGCCUGUGAUUAGUGAGAAGAAGGAUGUGCAUCGAUAAUACAUAUUAAGUAGCCAGGGCAUUUGCUUUUACAGGUUUUCUCCUGUUGUAGAAAUUUAAAAGCCACUAGCAGUUUUUUUGGGAACCUGUGUCUUGUGGUAAGUACAGUAUACAGGAAAAACACUGUUAGGCAUAUUUCAGCAUGAGUUGUUUUUUUUGUUUUACAGGUUGAGACAUUGUUGGGAAUAUUAAAAGCAUAGGCAGGAAACCUUGGACUGCUAAAGCUUGUGAUAGAUAGGUGAGUAAACAAAAUAAUCCCAGGUUGAAGAAUCACUUAUCCAUGUACACGUUUUCUUAUCUUUACAGGUUCUUCUGGUUUGAGAAAAGUCUAGUCUGUUCUAGUCACUGUAUACUACAACUUUAACAGGAUACCAAGGAAACUGGCACUUGUGGCAGGUUGGGACCUGGUUUGGAAAAAGACUUGGCCUUGCAGCAGUUUUCUUAUGGUGAUGACUGACCACCUCGGCUCCCAAAACAGCUUGUCUUGCCUGUACUGACUUUUAUAUUUGUUUUAGGAUUGUCAAAUGUUUGUUUUUGUCAAUUAAAUAUAUUUUUAUUCAUUUAAAUUUAUUACAGAUAUUAUAACUAAAUAUUUUCUAUGAAGUAUAAUGCAUCACUUAAUCCUUAGAAGUGAUGCAUUUCAGGAACAUUACAAUAUUGGGGUCACAACUAAACUGUAGCUCAGUGGUUAAAUUAUUUGGUUUCUGUGUUGUCUCAUUGCUCAUCUGCCAGACUAUAUACUCUUGGAAAGUGAGUAUAUGAAGGGAUAGAUUGGUUUCACUGUGUAUAAGUGUGUUAUUUCACCUAGGCAUCUGGGUUACAGGUUGGGUUCUGGCUUUGAAAAACUUCUGUGGAAGCACUUAAGUGAGUGGGGAUGUUGGUCAUCUUUGUAUUAUCGGAAUGGAUUUCCUUAGAAGACUGGGAAAAUAUUCAGACCCAGAGGUUUUUCAAAGACAGAAAUAUCUGCUUUUACAGGUUGGGACAUUGUGAGUCAGGAAACAUUGCACUGCUAAAGCUUGUGAUUGGUGAUUAAAAACAUAAAUGUGCAUUGAUAAUACUGUUUAUUUAAGCUGGGCAUGAUUUUGAUUUUACAGGUUUACCUGUUCUGGGAAAUGUCUCACCACUGAUACUUCAGCCUGGCAGUUUAUUUGGGAUCCUAUUUUUUGUGGUAGGUAUGGAUGAACAAAUUUCAUUUGGCAUCAUUAUUCUUUAUUAUGGGCAUCUUUGUUUUACAGAUUUGGAUCCUGUGUUGAAAUCUCUUUAAGCAGAGUCAGCUUACCUUAGACUGCUGAAGCUUGUGAUUGGUUGGGAUCCUGUGUGGCAAUGGCUUAAAGCAGAGUCAGCUUCCCUUAGACUGCUAAAACUUGUGAUUGGUGAGUAGAAGGAUAGAUGUGCACUGAUAAUACUGAUUCUUCAGCUUGUAAAUCUUUUUAUUUUGCAGGUUCUCUUGUUUUAGGAACCAUCCAGCUUUUAUGGUACUUAAGCCUGGCAGUUUAUUUGGGUCCCUGUUAUCUGGUAGGUAUGGAUGAACUAAUUUUGGCAUUGACAUUCUCCAGCAUGGGUAUUUGUUUUACAGGUUGAGAAGGGAAAGAAGCCACAUGAGGAAACUUUAUACUAAUGAAUAUUGUGUCUAAUUGGUGAGUAAAAGAAUAGGCAUGUAUGGGUUAUACUGGGUCUUUAACCUUUACAUCUUUUUAUUUUACAGGUUCUCUUGUUUUGGGAAUCAUUCGGCUUUCAUGUAACCCUGGCAGUUUAUUUUGGUUCCUGUUUAUGGUAGGUAUGGGUUCAAAAUGACAUUUGGCAUUGAUAUUUUUCAACAUGAGCAUCUUUGCUUUACAGGUUGGGAUCCUGUGUGACAAAGGCUAGAAGCAGAGUCUGGUUACCUUGGACUGCUGAAGCUUGUAAUGGAUAAGUGAGUAGAAGAAUGGAUGUGCACAGAUAAUACUGUUUAUUCAGCCUGGUAUUUCUUUCUUUUUUACAGGUCUUCCUGGUUUGGGGAACAACUAGCCGCUGGCAGUUUCUUAUGAAACCUGUUUCUUAUGGUAGGUAUGGAUAAACAAAUUCUGUUUGGCAUUGUUCAGUAUGGGCAUCUUUGUGUGUUAUAGGUUGGGAUCCUGUGUGGCAAUGGCUUAAAGCAGUCAGUUUCCCUUAGACUGCUGAAGCUUGUGAUUGUUCUCUUGUUUUGGGAACCAUCCAGCUUCUAUGAUACUUAAGCCUGACAGUAUAUUUGAGUUCCUGUUAUUUGAGGUAGGUAUGGAUAACAAAUUAAAUUUGGCAUUAAUAUUGUUCAACAUGGGCAUUUUUGCUUUACAGGUUAGGAUUCUGUGUGGCAAAGGAUAGAAACAGAGUCGGGUUACCUUGGAAUACUGAAGAUUGUAAUCGAUAGGUGAGUAGCUGAAUACAUGUGCACGGAUACUACCAAUUCUUGAGUAAGGGCAUUUGUUUGUUUUUCAGAUUUUCCUGGUUUCCAUUGGCAGUUGAUUGUGGUUGGGACCUGGUUUGGAAAAAGGCUUUAGCCUUACAGCAGUUUCCUUAUGGUGAUGACUGACCAACUCAGCAACCAAGGCAACAGCUUGUCUUACCUGCACUGAAAACGUCUUUAAUUAAUGAGAAUCUGGACUUUAAUAUUUGUAUUAGGAUUGUCCAAUGUUUUUUUUUGUCAAUUAAAUAUAUUUUUAUUCUUUUAAAUUUCA